rnacentral:rRNA from 1 species
AACGAACGCUGGCGGCAGGCUUAACACAUGCAAGUCGAGCGCCCCGCAAGGGGAGCGGCAGACGGGUGAGUACCGCGUGGGAACGUACCUUUUGGUUCGGAACAACUCCGGAAAACUGGAGCUAAUACCGGAUAAGCCCUAACGGGGAAAGAUUUAUCGCCGAAAGAUCGGCCCGCGUCUGAUUAGCUAGUUGGUGAGGUAACGGCUCACCAAGGCGACGAUCAGUAGCUGGUCUGAGAGGAUGAUCAGCCACACUGGGACUGAGACACGGCCCAGACUCCUACGGGAAGCAGCAGUGGGGAAUAUUGGACAAUGGGCGCAAGCCUGAUCCAGCCAUGCCGCGUGAGUGAUGAAGGCCUUAGGGUUGUAAAGCUCUUUUGUCCGGGAAGAUAAUGACUGUACCGGAAGAAUAAGCCCCGGCUAACUUCGUG